rnacentral:rRNA from 1 species
CCUACGGGAGGCUGCAGUGGGGAAUAUUGCACAAUGGGGGAAACUCUGAUGCAGCGACGCAGCGUGAGUGAUGAAUUAAUUCGUUAUGUAAAGCUUCAUUUGUAGAGAAGUAAAUCAAGGUACGUGAGCCAGUUGCCCUGGAUAACUUGGUGACAGCAGGCGCGGUAAUACGUAGGGUGCCAGCGUUAUACGGAUUUACUGGGUGUAAAGGGAGCGUAGAGGGUUUGUAAAGUCAGUAGUGAAAGGUUGCGGCUCAACCGUCGGAUUGCAAUUGAAACUGUACGUCUUGAGUACAGUAGAGGUAGGCGGAAUUCGUGGUGUAGCGGUGAAAUGCUUAGAUAUCAGGAAGAACCCCGAUGGCGAAGGCAGCUUACUAAACUGUGACUGACAUUGAUGCUCGAAAGCGUGGGGAUCAAACAGGAUUAGAUACCCUUGUAGUC